rnacentral:lncRNA from 1 species
UGCUAAAAAAAUAUGAUGUAACAUUAAUUAAUUAAUAAUGUCAUGUUUAGCUUCUGACACAGACUUUAAACAUGUGAGCAAGAAAAACACAACAAAAGAAAUCAGAGACACUGAGCAGAGUGUGGUAAACCAGUUCUUUCUGCUCUACUCUGUAACGAUUGUGGUGAUUCUAGUGCUUUCUGUUCCAGUACUGAUUAAAACCAUCUGCAGGAAAGAGUAUUCUCUGCGAGACAAGGACACCCUCACCACUGUGUUUUAUGAAGAAGCAGAAGAUUCCAGUCUGCAGGAAUAGAGCUUCCCACCGAUUCCACUGCGAGGGCCUUUAACAGUCUUCAGUUAUUCUAUUUUAUUAAAUCAAACUAAAAUCUUAAAAGUAAAUCUUUAAUUUAAAGAGAGAUCAUUUAAUGUUUAUCUUUCACAAACCAGUAAUAAUUUACAUGUACGUCACAUAUGAAUAAAGUGUUGUGUUAAAUUGAAAAAGUAUAUUUU